AGAGUUUGAUCCUGGCUCAGAACGAACGCUGGCGGCGUGCCUAACACAUGCAAGUCGAACGGAGAUAAGGGGCUUGCUCCUUAUUUUAGUGGCGCACGGGUGAGUAACGCGUGGAUAAUCUACCUUGGAAUCUGGGAUAACAUUUCGAAAGGGGUGCUAAUACCGGAUAAGACCACGAGCUCUUUGGAGUUUGCGGUAAAAGGGGGCCUCUGUAUAUGCUUCUGUUUCAAGAUGAGUCCGCGUACCAUUAGCUAGUUGGCAGGGUAAUGGCCUACCAAGGCGACGAUGGUUAGCUGGUCUGAGAGGAUGAUCAGCCACACUGGAACUGAGACACGGUCCAGACUCCUACGGGAGGCAGCAGUGGGGAAUUUUGCGCAAUGGGGGAAACCCUGACGCAGCAACGCCGCGUGAGUGAUGAAGGCCUUCGGGUCGUAAAGCUCUGUCAGAGGGAA
rnacentral:rRNA from 1 species